GAGUUUGAUCUUGGCUCAGGAUGAACGCUGGCGGCGUGCUUAACACAUGCAAGUCGAACGAAGCACCUGAGAAUGAUUCUUCGGAUGAAGUCUCUUGUGACUGAGUGGCGGACGGGUGAGUAACGCGUGGGUAACCUGCCUCACACAGGGGGAUAACAGUUGGAAACGACCGCUAAUACCGCAUAACCCGCUGGUGCCGCAUGGCACUGACGGAAAAGAUUUUAUCGGUGUGAGAUGGACCCGCGUCUGAUUAGCCAGUUGGCAGGGUAACGGCCUACCAAAGCGACGAUCAGUAGCCGGCCUGAGAGGGUGAACGGCCACAUUGGGACUGAGACACGGCCCAGACUCCUGCGGGAGGCAGCAGUGGGG
rnacentral:rRNA from 1 species